GAAAGUAAGCAAGGGCAGACGGUGGAUGCCUUGGCUCUCGGAGGCGAUGAAGGACGUGAUAAGCUGCGAUAAGCUUGGGGUAGGUGCAAAUAACCUUUGAUCCCAAGAUUUCCGAAUGGGGCAACCCGGCUGGUAGAAGGCCAGUCAUUCCGUAAGGAAGGCGAACGUGGGGAACUGAAACAUCUAAGUACCCAUAGGAGAAGAAAACAAAAGUGAUUCCGCAAGUAGUGGCGAGCGAACGCGGAACAGCCCAAACCGAUGAUGUUUAGGCAUUGUCGGGGUAGUAGGACCACGUUGUGGCAAGAGAUUAAGGAAGUAGAACGUUUUGGAACAAACGGCCGUAGACGGUGAAAGCCCAGUAUACGACUCUUUAACGAAGCCUAGUGGAAUCCUGAGUAGCGCGGAGCACGAGAAAUUCUGUGUGAAUCAGCGGGGCCCAUCCCGUAAGGCUAAAUACUCCCGAGAGACCGAUAGCGAACCAGUACUGUGAAGGAAAGGUGAAAAGCACCUCGAACAGAGGAGUGAAAUAGUCCCUGAAACCGUCUGCCUACAAGCGGUCGGAGCAACGUAAGUUGUGACGGCGUGCCUUUUGCAUAAUGAACCUACGAGUUACUUUCUCCGGCAAGGUUAAGGGCUUCAGGCCCGGAGCCGAAGCGAAAGCGAGUCUUAAUAGGGCGUGAUAGUCGGAGUGAGUAGACGCGAAACCAAGUGAUCUACCCUUGGUCAGGAUGAAGGUUGGGUAACACCAACUGGAGGUCCGAAUGGGUAUACGUUGAAAAGUGUUCCAAUGAACUGAGGGUAGGGGUGAAAGGCUAAUCAAACUUGGAGAUAGCUCGUACUCCCCGAAAUGCAUUUAGGUGCAGCCUUUAUUUAGUAUAGCAUGAGGUAGAGCGACUGAUUGGAUGCGAGGGCUUCACCGCCUAUCAAGUCCAGAUAAACUCCGAAUGCGUGCUAUAUAUUGAUAAGGAGUGAGGGCGCGGGUGCUAAGGUCCGCGUCCGAGAGGAGAAGAAUCCAGACCAUCAGCUAAGGUCCCCAAAUAACAGUUAAGUUGAACUAACGAAGUCGGACUGCAGAGACAGCUAGGAUGUUGGCUUGGAAGCAGCCAUUCAUUUAAAGAGUGCGUAACAGCUCACUAGUCGAGGAGUCCGGCGUGGAUAAUACUCGGGCAUAAACUGUUUACCGAAGCUAUGGAUGUAGAAAUACAUGGUAGGGGAGCAUUCCAACGGCGUCGAAGGUGAAGGAUGACCUUUGCUGGAGCUUUUGGAAACGCAAAUGUAGGUAUAAGUAACGAUAAAGGAGGUGAGAAACCUCCUCGCCGAAAGACUAAGGUUUCCUGAUCAACGUUAAUCGGAUCAGGGUAAGUCGGGACCUAAGGUUAAGCCGAACGGCGAUACCGAUGGAAGAAUGGUUUAAUAUUCCCAUACUACUUUAUGGAGCGAUGUGGAGACGGAGAAGUGAAAGUCCUGCCAUCUGACGGAAUAGGUGGUUGAAGAGUGUAGAUGUAGAUUCCUGUAGGCAAAUCCGCAGGGAGAGUCGACCUUGACAGUAUGCCGCGUGCUUGCACAAGGCAAAAUGGACGUAAUCAGGCUCCCAAGAAAAUCCGCUAAGCAUAUUCAUAAAGUACCCGUACCGUAAACGGACACACGUAGUUGGGUUGAAAAUACUGAGGCGCUCGAGUGAUUCACGGUUAAGGAACUAGGCAAAUUGACCCUGUAACUUCGGGAUAAAGGGUCCCUACUGAGAGGUAGGGCGCAGAGAAUAGGUCCAGGCAACUGUUUAACAAAAACACAUGGCUGUGCGAAAUAGAAAUAUGAAGUAUACAGCCUGACACCUGCCCGGUGCUGGAAGGUUAAGAGGAGAGCUCAUCGCAAGAGAAGGCUUGAAUUGAAGCCCCAGUAAACGGCGGCCGUAACUAUAACGGUCCUAAGGUAGCGAAAUUCCUUGUCGGGUAAGUUCCGACCUGCACGAAUGG
rnacentral:rRNA from 1 species